GACGAACGCUGGCGGCAUGCCUAAUACAUGCAAGUCGAACGCUGAAGCACUCUGCUUGCAGUGUGCGGAUGAGUGGCGAACGGGCGAGUAACACGUGGGAAAUCUGCCUAUAAGAGGGGGAUAACAUUCGGAAACGGAUGCUACUACCGCAUAUAUUCUUGGACCGCCUGGUCCUUGAAAGCAAGACGGCUUUGCUGUCGCUUAUAGAUGAUCCCGCGGCGUAUUAGUUAGUUGGUGGGGUAAAGGCCUACCAAGACAAUGAUACGUAGCCGACCUGAGAGGGUGAUCGGCCACACUGGGACUGAGACACGGCCCAGACUCCUACGGGAGGCAGCAGUAGGGAAUCUUCGACAAUGGGCGAAAGCCUGAUGGAGCAAUGCCGCGUGAAUGAAGAAGGUCUUCGGAUCGUAAAGUUCUGUUAUUAGAGAAGAACAAGUCAAGGAGUAACUGUCGUGACUUUGACGGUACCUAACCAGAAAGUCACGGCUAACUACGUG
rnacentral:rRNA from 1 species